GAGCCAGGGCCCUCCACACGCUUCUUCUACAGUUCACGAUGAGGAGAGGGGAGAGAUUGGAGAGAGAAGACAAGAGACAACCUAUUUCAUGAUGUUGAAAUCUUACGGUUUGAAGAGACCUUUCCAGUCAUCUACGAUGGUUCCCAAACACUGCUCCAUAACAAAGUUUUCACCAUCCUACAUCAGCCAAGGAUGGUGUUGUGAGUUUU
rnacentral:lncRNA from 1 species